GAUGAACGCUGGCGGCGUGCCUAAUACAUGCAAGUCGAGCGAACAGACGAGGAGCUUGCUCCUCUGACGUUAGCGGCGGACGGGUGAGUAACACGUGGGUAACCUACCUAUAAGACUGGGAUAACUUCGGGAAACCGGAGCUAAUACCGGAUAAUAUAUUGAACCGCAUGGUUCAAUAGUGAAAGACGGUUUUGCUGUCACUUAUAGAUGGAUCCGCGCCGCAUUAGCUAGUUGGUAAGGUAACGGCUUACCAAGGCAACGAUGCGUAGCCGACCUGAGAGGGUGAUCGGCCACACGGGAACUGAGACACGGUCCAGACUCCUACGCGAGGCAGCAGUAGGGAGUCUUCCGCAAUGGAAGAAAGCCUGACGGAGCAACGCCGCGUGAGUGUUGAAGGUCUUCGGAUCGUAAAACUCUGUUAUGAGGGAGGAACAAAUGUGUAAGUAACUAUGCACGUCUUGACGGUAACUAAUCAGAAAGCCACGGCUAACUACGUG
rnacentral:rRNA from 1 species